rnacentral:rRNA from 1 species
GAUGAACGCUGGCGGCGUGCCUAACACAUGCAAGUCGAACGAGCGAGAGAGAGCUUGCUUUCUCGAGCGAGUGGCGAACGGGUGAGUAACGCGUGAGGAACCUGCCUCAAAGAGGGGGACAACAGUUGGAAACGACUGCUAAUACCGCAUAAGCCCACAGGUCGGCAUCGACCAGAGGGAAAAGGAGCAAUCCGCUUUGAGAUGGCCUCGCGUCCGAUUGGCUGGUUGGUGAGGUAACGGCCCACCAAGGCGACGAUCGGUAGCCGGACUGAGAGGUUGAACGGCCACAUUGGGACUGAGACACGGCCCAGACUCCUACGGGAGGCAGCAGUGGGGAAUAUUGCACAAUGGGGGAAACCCUGAUGCAGCGACGCCGCGUGGAGGAGAAGGUCUUCGGAUUGUAAACUCCUGUUCGUUGGGGAAGAUAAUGAACGGUACCCAACAAGGAAGUGACGG